rnacentral:rRNA from 1 species
AGCGAACGUUAGCGGCGGGCUUAACACAUGCAAGUCGAGCGAGAAAGUGGCUUCGGCCAUCAGUAAAGCGGCGGACGGGUGAGUAACACGUAGGUAAUCUUCCCUUGAGCGGGGGACAACGUUUCGAAAGGAACGCUAAUACCGCAUAAGUUUCCAGGGACUCUGGUUCCUGGAAGGAAAGCUAGGUCGCAAGAUCCGGCACUCGAGGAGGAGCCUGCGUCGCAUCAGCUAGUUGGUGGGGAAUGGCCUACCAAGGCGAAGACGCGUAGCUGGUCUGAGAGGAUGAUCAGCCACACUGGGACUGAGACACGGCCCAGACUCCUACGGGAGGCAGCAGUGGGGAAUAUUGGACAAUGGGCGCAAGCCUGAUCCAGCCACGCCGCGUGAGUGAUGAAGGCC